ACGUAUCUACCCCGGGCGGCGAAGGCUCGCGCCCAGCUCCGGCCCGCAAAGGCCGUGCAGCGGGUGUGUCCCGAGCCCCCGAACCCUCACAAACCCACCGUGCACCAUUGUCGGCGGAGGGGCCCCUGGCGAGAGCCGCGGCCCCGAUGCCGGUUCACAAACGCUAAAGUCUCGAGAAUGUUGCGGUCCUAGCGCCGCCUAAAAACAUGUAA
rnacentral:misc_RNA from 1 species